rnacentral:rRNA from 1 species
UGGGGAAUUUUGGACAAUGGGCGAAAGCCUGAUCCAGCAAUGCCGCGUGUGUGAAGAAGGCCUUCGGGUUGUAAAGCACUUUUGUCCGGAAAGAAAUCCUCUGGGUUAAUACCUCGGGGGGAUGACGGUACCGGAAGAAUAAGCACCGGCUAACUACGUGCCAGCAGCCGCGGUAAUACGUAGGGUGCAAGCGUUAAUCGGAAUUACUGGGCGUAAAGCGUGCGCAGGCGGUUUUGUAAGACGGAUGUGAAAUCCCCGGGCUUAACCUGGGAACUGCAUUCGUGACUGCAAGGCUAGAGUAUGGCAGAGGGGGGUAGAAUUCCACGUGUAGCAGUGAAAUGCGUAGAGAUGUGGAGGAAUACCGAUGGCGAAGGCAGCCCCCUGGGCCAAUACUGACGCUCAUGCACGAAAGCGUGGGGAGCAAACAGGAUUAGAUACCCUGGUAGUCCACGCCCUAAACGAUGUCAACUAGUUGUUGGGGAUUCAUUUCCUUAGUAACGUAACUAACGCGUGAAGUUGACCGCCUGGGGAGUACGGUCGCAAGAUUAAAACUUAAAGGAAUUGACGGGGUCAUAGCUGUUUCCU